CCGACAGGAAGGUGAAGAAGUCAUCUGCGUGCUGUGAGGGUGGCGCACCCCAACUCCAUGGGGACAGAAGGUCCUGCAUUUAGGACCCUUCCAGACCUCACACCUAUGUAUCUCUUCAUCUGGCUGAUUACUUAUGUCCUUUCAAAGACCCAUCUUAGUAAACUGGACCACCCGAUAGGGUACUGAGGAUGGCUUCUGACCUGGAGGCAUCAAGGACCUGAAGGCAGUAACCAUUUCAGAGGACAGCCACAUCCCUCAAAUUACAAAUAUCUAAAAUGUCCAUUAACUGUUGAGUGGAUAUAUAAAUUCUGAUGUUUUAUAAAAUGGCAUACCCUACAUCAAUGAAGAUGAGUGAAUUACUUCUGCAUAAAACAAUAUACAUGCAUCUAACCAAUAUGACACUGAGUGAAAAAAGACAUCCAUAGAAGAGCACAGCUCACCAUUCAGGAGCAUCACCCUGGUCCAAGCCACCUUCAGCUCUCACCUAGACUAAUGCAGUUCUUCCUGUCUCCAUGAGCCUCCUCUCUAGUUGCUGUAUUGCAAGUAACAAUCAAAACAGCAUUUAAAAGCAAAACAACAACAGCAAACAAAUGAUAAACCUUCUACCUCCCCAAGUUUCUACAGGCACACAUCUCUUUGGGAUUUAACAGAGCAUCAUCACUUAGCCAAGCAAACUGCAUGCUAAACAGAUCCAGCUGAAUAAAUUGGACCACUUGAUUUU